rnacentral:rRNA from 1 species
UACCAGCACCCCGAGUGGUCGGGACGUUUAUUGGGCCUAAAGCAUCCGUAGCCGGUUCUACAAGUCUUCCGUUAAAUCCACCUGCUUAACAGAUGGGCUGCGGAAGAUACUAUAGAGCUAGGAGGCGGGAGAGGCAAGCGGUACUCGAUGGGUAGGGGUAAAAUCCGUUGAUCCAUUGAAGACCACCAGUGGCGAAGGCGGCUUGCCAGAACGCGCUCGACGGUGAGGGAUGAAAGCUGGGAGAGCAAACCGG